rnacentral:rRNA from 1 species
CCUACGGGUGGCAGCAGUGAGGAAUAUUGGUCAAUGGGCGCAAGCCUGAACCCGCCAAGUCGCGUGAGGGAUGACGGUCCUAUGGAUUGUACACCUCUUUUGUCGGGGAGCAAGGCCCGCCACGUGUGGCGGGACGGAGAGUACCCGACGAAAAAGCAUCGGCUAACUCCGUGCCAGCAGCCGCGGUAAUACGGAGGGUGCGAGCGUUAUCCGGAUUUAUUGGGUUUAAAGGGUGCGUAGGCGGUAGGUUAAGGCAGCGGUCAAAUGUCGGUGCUCAACACCGGCCUGCCGUUGAAACUGGUCGUCUUGAGUGAGCGAGAGGUAUGCGGAAUGCGUGGUGUAGCGGUGAAAUGCAUAGAUAUCACGCAGAACUCCGAUUGCGAAGGCAGCAUACCGGCGCUCAACUGACGCUGAGGCUCGAAAGCGUGGGGAGCGAACAGGAUUAGAUACCCGAGUAGUC